UACGGAGGGGACUAGCGUUGUUCGGAAUUACUGGGCGUAAAGCGCACGUAGGCGGAUUUGUAAGUCAGGGGUGAAAUCCCGAGGCUCAACCUCGGAACUGCCUCGGAUACUGGGUGUCUCGAGGGUGGUAGGGGUAUGCGGAACUAUCGGUGGAGCGGUGAAAUGCGUUGAUAUCGAUAGGAACUCCGGUGGCGAAGGCGGCAUACUGGACCACAUCUGACGCUGAGGCGCGAAAGCCAGGGGAGCAAACGGG
rnacentral:rRNA from 1 species